GAUGAACGCUGGCGGCGUGCCUAAUACAUGCAAGUCGAGCGAACGGACGAGAAGCUUGCUUCUCUGAUGUUAGCGGCGGACGGGUGAGUAACACGUGGAUAACCUACCUAUAAGACUGGGAUAACUUCGGGAAACCGGAGCUAAUACCGGAUAAUAUUUUGAACCGCAUGGUUCAAAAGUGAAAGACGGUCUUGCUGUCACUUAUAGAUGGAUCCGCGCUGCAUUAGCUAGUUGGUAAGGUAACGGCUUACAAGGCAACGAUGCAUAGCCGACCUGAGAGGGUGAUCGGCCACACUGGAACUGAGACACGGUCCAGACUCCUACGGGAGGCAGCAGUAGGGAAUCUUCCGCAAUGGGCGAAAGCCUGACGGAGCAACGCCGCGUGAGUGAUGAAGGUCUUCGGAUCGUAAAACUCUGUUAUUAGGGAAGAACAUAUGUGUAAGUAACUGUGCACAUCUUGACGGUACCUAAUCAGAAAGCCACGGCUAACUACGUG
rnacentral:rRNA from 1 species